CCAUAGAGAUUAUAAAUAACACUAGAGGAGGCAUUGUAAUCUUAAUUCAGUAAAAAAAAGGGAACGCAGCUAUUGGGGGGCAAAUUCAAGUCCCGGAUGUGUAUUCGUGUUCCCAUUGGUGACGAGUUUCAAAUCAGCCAAUGAGAGCACGAUUUUAUAUCCGGGACUUGAAUUUGCCCCCCAUUAGCUGCGUUCCCAAUUUUUAAACUUGA
rnacentral:lncRNA from 1 species